rnacentral:sRNA from 2 species
GUCUUACCUCGUUAGGUGAGGCGGCUGUAUGAACACAGGCCACUGAUCAGAAACGUCGAGAGACGCCAACGAUCAGGCCAGGUUUCGUCGGCAUAAGGCGAGACCCGAAGUGGCUGGAUACCACAUGGUGCUAUCUUACGUCGUACAGUGCCAAAGCUCAACUAGAGGGGGCCGGG